rnacentral:lncRNA from 1 species
AGAGCAAAGGGAAGGGCACAGAGAGUGUGCAGGGUGGUCCUUGUCCCUGCCCAAGCUGCAAGAGGCUCUGCGAAGGGACUGAGGAGUCCGUCCUGAACCGAAGCAUGAUCCUGUUAGCUCUUCCAGCUCUCCAGGCGCCAACGACCAUAUGGUCUCGGUGACCCAGGCCUGCCCAGACGGAAGCCAUUCAGACCCAGAGCCACGUGUCCUGGGUCUCCCUGCCCCGGGCCACCCGCCACCACACCCCAGAGCUUGCUCACCACCGGGAGGCGCUCUUGUCCUGGACCAGCCUAGCCUGGGUUGGGACCUCCAGCCAGGCCAGUCAGCGAGCCACCAGCCCCACCAGAGUGGAAUGACAGCCAGGACUCAGCUGGCAGCGGGCAGGAGGCCAGUCUUGUGGUGAUAUCCCAGCCGCAACUCUCUUCCUGCCCCUCCCCUGUCCUGACGGCAGCCCCCAGCUCUGUAGCUGAGCCAGGCUUGCGGGCCACGCGGGGUCCCGGGUUUAGGCACCCCACCCCUAUCUGUUCCAACAGACUCUCCCUCUCAGCCCAUGGCACAGAUGGCAUCUGAGCUAGCAGCACGCUGCUG